AACCCAAUGAAGCAGAUAAUAUCUGGAGUGAGGAAACUCAUGGCUUUCAGACAUCAGCUGAGUCAUGACAUUAAUUGAUAAUAAUUAGCUUGCUCCUCCAAAAGACCCAAAUGGAUUUGUAUUAGACUUCACUAAAUAUCUAUACAGCCCAGAAGUCAUAACAUUGGUUGCCACAUCAUGACUAGAAAUCAAUUUCUGGAGACCAGCAGGGAAAGCUACAGGAUUCACAAUUUUAAAGACAAACAUUAGCAACAAAAGAAGGCAACAACAGUACUAUAUGUACUAUAACCCAAUGCCAUGAACAGUCAGGCACAGAUGAAGAGACACACAUCAAGUGAAAUUUGGUCACUUCAAAACUCUCUCAUCAGGCAGCAGGAGGUGCAUAGAGAAUACAGUGACUUUACUUCUGAGAGGCAGGCCUCAGUUAAUUACCAAGUAAGAGUAUGAAAAUAAAAGAAAUGAGACCCAUUCUCCCCAUCAGUAUAUCUGAAGCCUAUCAUGAUUCAGUGCAACAUGCAGGAGCCAUAGGAUUAAAGAAAACACUUCUCUUAUGAGCAUCUGAAAUACUUUUCUUCUACUCCUGAUAUCCCUUUCCUGGGUCUUUUUGAAUCUGCAUACAUGGCAGUAGAUAUGAGAGGUUUCACCUGAAGUUCUCAUGGUUUGGAAUUUAUGUAAUAUAAGAACAGACAAUAUUUGGGGUUUUUUAAGUAUUGAUUAGUUAGGGUUUUUUCUUUUCUUUUUAAGAGAGACAUUUCAAAUAGUAAUACUGUGGUUAUCUAUUUAAAUGUGUUUUGGUUUAUUUACAAUCUGUCCUGAAGAAGGUGUGCUAGACUUUUCCAAAAUGCAUGAAGCAUUUUAAUAAAUAAAGGCCACAUUUUAUCAUUUUUAUUUGUAUUAUUUUAUUUAUUUAUAUGCCACCUUUCUCCUAACCCAAUGCAGCUCACAAAAAAAUUUCCCUACUGUUCCCUACACCUUUUCUUCUCCUUUAAUAAUGCCCCCAGAAUGGUAUGUUUUGUGCAUCACUGCUUUUAGGCAGACACCAAAAGGAAUUUUAUUUCAAAAUACCACUUUUAAUAAAUGUGCACAUGUUGAUUUAACAUGUAAUAUUUACAUAAAGUUUAUUAAUAAGCCACCUUGAUAACUUUUUUAGAUGAAAGGUGCUACAGAACUAUAAUAAUAAAUACAUUAAAUGCAUCUUCUUUCCUCUUCUCAGGCCAUCUCAGCUACCUAGAAGCUAGCUGUCUGGCUUCUGUGAAACACAGUAAAAUGAGGAACCUGGGAAGAAGGAAACUUAGCUCCAUCCCUUAAUUCAUUACAUGUGAAGUAUAGUACUGAAAUG